GAUGAACGCUGGCGGCGUGCUUAACACAUGCAAGUCGAACGGAAAGGCUCCUGCUUGCCGGGGUACUCGAGUGGCGAACGGGUGAGUAACACGUGGGUGAUCUGCCCUGCACUUCGGGAUAAGCCUGGGAAAAUGGGUCUAAUACCGGAUAGGACGUUUGGUUGGAUGCCGUUGAGGAAAGUUUUUCGGUGUGGGUUGAUCUCGCGGCCUAUCAGCUUGUUGGUGGGGUAUUGGCCUACCAAGUGGUCGACGGGUAGCCGGCCUGGGAGGGUAGACGGCCACAUUGGUCCUGAGAGACGGCCCAGACUCCUACGGGAGGCAGCAGUGGGGAAUAUUGCACAAUGGGCGCAAGCCUGAUGCAGCGACGCCGCGUGGGGGAUGACGGCCUUCGGGUUGUAAACUACUUUCGCUAGGGACGAAGCGCAAGUGACGGUACCUGGAGAAGAAGCACCGGCUAACUACGUG
rnacentral:rRNA from 1 species